rnacentral:tRNA from 1 species
AGUUAAUGAACUUGAUAAAGUAUAUGUUUUGAAAGCAUAAUAAGGAAGUAAAAUCUUUCAUUAACUU